UUUCGUUGGGCCCUUGUACUUUUCGUAGAAGUGUUUUGGAGUUUGUGCUAUCCACCUUUGCUGUCAUACCAUUCUCAAAUUAUUUUGAGAGGCUGGUAUUGAGCCCUGUGUGAUGAUGGUGUGUCAGCAAGUUGGGGAGAGGUGGGAGGAGCCCUUUCAUCUAUGAUCUGAAUAAUGAAUGCCUUGCUCCAGCGUACCUUCCUCAACCAUCAAAGAAUGUGGGAUGGUUGGUGCCAAAAUAGGAGUCUGCAGCAUCCCCUAACCUUCGCAUACGACUCCCGCAUCCUCAUGAUGGCCACAGUUAUGG